GCUACUACCGAUUGAAUGGUUUAGUGAGGACUCCUGAUUGGCGCCGCCUCCCCGGCAACGGAGCAGAGGACUGCCGAAAAGUUGUUCAAACUUGAUCAUUUAGAGGAAGUAAAAGUCGUAACAAGGUUUCCGUAGGUGAACCUGCAGAAGGAUCAAUAUCUGAUGAUCGUCGUGUAGGUUAUGUGUUUAUAUCUCUCUUGUCGCCUUUUCAUUAUCAUACUAUCCUCCCUUCUUUUUUUCUCUUCUUUUUCCUCUUUCUUCUUUUCUUUCUUUCUCU
rnacentral:misc_RNA from 1 species